CUUAGUGGCGGACGGGUGAGUAACACGUGAGCAACCUGCCUUUCUAGGGGGAUAACGGCUGGAAACGGUCGCUAAUACCGCAUGAUGUGUUCGGAUGGCAUCAUCUGAACAUCAAAGAUUUAUCGCUGAAAGAUGGGCUCGCGUCUGAUUAGAUAGUUGGUGGGGUAACGGCCUACCAAGUCGACGAUCAGUAGCCGGACUGAGAGGUUGAACGGCCACAUUGGGACUGAGAUACGGCCCAGACUCCUACGGGAGGCAGCAGUGGGGAAUAUUGCACAAUGGGGGAAACCCUGAUGCAGCAACGCCGCGUGAAGGAUGACGGUUUUCGGAUUGUAAACUUCUUUUCUUAGUGACGAAGACAGUGACGGUAGCUAAGGAAUAAGCAUCGGCUAACUACGUGCCAGCAGCCGCGGUAAUACGUAGGAUGCAAGCGUUAUCCGGAUUUACUGGGUGUAAAGGGAGCGCAGGCGGGACUGCAAGUUGGAUGUGAAAUGCCGUGGCUUAACCACGGAACUGCAUCCAAAACUGUAGUUCUUGAGUGAAGUAGAGGCAAGCGGAAUUCCGAGUGUAGCGGUGAAAUGCGUAGAUAUUCGGAGGAACACCAGUGGCGAAGGCGGCUUGCUGGGCUUUAACUGACGCUGAGGCUCGAAAGUGUGGGGAGCAAACAGGAUUAGAUACCCUGGUAGUCCACACUGUAAACGAUGAUAGCUAGGUGUGGGGGGGUCUGACCCCUUCCGUGCCGGAGUUAACGCAAUAAGCUAUCCACCUGGGGAGUACGACCGCAAGGUUGAAACUCAAAGGAAUUGACGGGGGCCCG
rnacentral:rRNA from 1 species